rnacentral:rRNA from 1 species
UAGGGAAUAUUGCACAAUGGGGGAAACCCUGAUGCAGCGACGCCGCGUGAAGGAAGAAGUAUCUCGGUAUGUAAACUUCUAUCAGCAGGGAAGACAAUGACGGUACCUGACUAAGAAGCCCCGGCUAACUACGUGCCAGCAGCCGCGGUAAUACGUAGGGGGCAAGCGUUAUCCGGAUUUACUGGGUGUAAAGGGAGCGUAGACGGCGAAACAAGUCUGAAGUGAAAGCCCGGGGCUCAACCCCGGGACUGCUUUGGAAACUGUGUUGCUAGAGUGCUGGAGAGGUAAGCGGAAUUCCUAGUGUAGCGGUGAAAUGCGUAGAUAUUAGGAAGAACACCAGUGGCGAAGGCGGCUUACUGGACAGUAACUGACGUUGAGGCUCGAAAGCGUGGGAGCAAACAGGAUUAGAUACC